rnacentral:rRNA from 1 species
GAAUUCGCCCUUAGAGUUUGUUCCUGGCUCAGGACGAACGCUGGCGGCGCGCCUAACACAUGCAAGUCGAACGAGCGAGAGGAGGUUUACUUUCUCAAGCGAGUGGCGAACGGGUGAGUAACGCGUGAGGAACCUGCCUCAAAGAGGGGGACAACAGUUGGAAACGACUGCUAAUACCGCAUAAGCCCACGACCCGGCAUCGGGUAGAGGGAAAAGGAGCAAUCCGCUUUGAGAUGGCCUCGCGUCCGAUUAGCUAGUUGGUGAGGUAAUGGCCCACCAAGGCGACGAUCGGUAGCCGGACUGAGAGGUUGAACGGCCACAUUGGGACUGAGACACGGCCCAGACUCCUACGGGAGGCAGCAGUGGGGAAUAUUGCACAAUGGGGGAAACCCUGAUGCAGCGACGCCGCGUGGAGGAAGAAGGUCUUCGGAUUGUAAACUCCUGUUGUUGAGGAAGAUAAUGACGGUACUCAACAAGGAAGUGACGGCUAACUACGUGCCAGCAGCCGCGGUAAAACGUAGGUCACAAGCGUUGUCCGGAAUUACUGGGUGUAAAGGGAGCGCAGGCGGGAAGACAAGUUGGAAGUGAAAUCCAUGGGCUCAACCCAUGAACUGCUUUCAAAACUGUUUUUCUUGAGUAGUGCAGAGGUAGGCGGAAUUCCCGGUGUAGCGGUGGAAUGCGUAGAUAUCGGGAGGAACACCAGUGGCGAAGGCGGCCUACUGGGCACCAACUGACGCUGAGGCUCGAAAGUGUAGGUAGCAAACAGAAUUAGAUACCCUGGUAGUCCACACUGUAAACGAUGAUU